rnacentral:lncRNA from 1 species
AAGGGUGUUGUUAGCUCUUAACCCUAACAUUGAGAGUUAGGGUGAAGCAGAUGAAAUGGGGAAAUGAGGAUAAGACCUCAUAGCUCUUAUCCCUGGCCUGGGAGAGCUUCAAACAAUGAAAGUAUGGGAGUCCAGAAUGUGGGACUCUAUUCUGCAAUGACUGACACAACAAGAUUUUGGGUUUUUAUUCAAAGUGCAUCAAC